AGAAGGCAGAACGCUGAAAAAUUGAUACUUUUGAAUUGGAGAAGACUCUUGAGAGUCACUUGAGGAGACUCAAGUGAGGAGACUCACUUGAGGAGACCAAACUUGCAAGGAGAUAAAACCAGUCGAUGAUAUAGGAAAUUAACUCUGAAUACUUGGUGGAAGGACUGACACUGAAGU